rnacentral:rRNA from 1 species
UACACUCCUGCGGGAGGCAGCAGUGGGGAAUUUUGGACAAUGGGCGCAAGCCUGAUCCAGCCAUGCCGCGUGCGGGAAGAAGGCCUUCGGGUUGUAAACCGCUUUUGUCAGGGAAGAAAAGGUUCUGGCUAAUACCUGGGACUCAUGACGGUACCUGAAGAAUAAGCACCGGCUAACUACGUGCCAGCAGCCGCGGUAAUACGUAGGGUGCAAGCGUUAAUCGGAAUUACUGGGCGUAAAGCGUGCGCAGGCGGUUAUGCAAGACAGAGGUGAAAUCCCCGGGCUCAACCUGGGAACUGCCUUUGUGACUGCAUGGCUAGAGUACGGUAGAGGGGGAUGGAAUUCCGCGUGUAGCAGUGAAAUGCGUAGAUAUGCGGAGGAACACCGAUGGCGAAGGCAAUCCCCUGGACCUGUACUGACGCUCAUGCACGAAAGCGUGGGGAGCAAACAGGAUUAGAAACCCGAGUAGUCCCAUGAU